rnacentral:lncRNA from 1 species
GCUUCCCACGUGAAGACUUCUCAAAAGCAAGUUCACUUUUCAAUGCACUGUCAAAUUGCUUAGAACCACAAAAUCCCUUAUAUUUUGUUUGCUUCCUACCUGAUGCCUUUGCACUAUUAGAGUGCAAUAAAUCACCAAAACUUUUGACCUUUGUAUGGUCCCCACGUGAAGCCUCCCCCAAAAUAAAUUCAACUUUUUUUAUUGUCAAAACAAUCUUCUUCUUCUUUAUUUUCGAAGCAAUUCCUCUGGAAGAAAACGGGUUCCACUCUCUGCUUUCUCUGGGAAAACUUUGUUCCACAACCUGGCAGAUAAUCUCGAGCGGGAGGGACAAUUCUCCUUGGUGGAUAACGGUGUCAUCGGUAUUGUGUAUUACCGCGAGGGGACGAGACCACGGUUGAAUGAGAAGACUACGGGGGAAGAACACGACCACGCCGCUGCUUGCUAUGGGUCAGUGGUUGCUGUGGUGAGUCCACGGUGGAGGAAGGCGUAAAAAUUACGGGUUCAGUCUCGAAUUUGUAGCAGUCAACGAAGGACUACGAAUCAAUCACGAUGGUGCAAGUAAGCCUCUUGGGUUUUGUGACCAAAUUGCAGAAAAAGGUUCUGAAAUUUUGGGUCCAAAUGGAUGCUGCUGGUCUUCUAUUUUCUGUGCAGGUUUGAUCUUUGCAGCAAAAAAUCACGAUUGAAAUGGGUUGUCUGAGGGCCUAAUUGGACUGUAAAAACUUUCUGAAUACAAGUUUUUUAAAUUCUGAUAAUUGUUGGAUGAAUUUGUAUGAUGAAAUGGUUCAAUUUCAAAAAGAAUUUUGUUUUCUGUCGAAUGAAAUGGUGUAGGAGAAUAUAGUUCGAAUUGUUGGGUUAAUUCAGGCCUGGGUUCAAACGGGUUGUAGGAUGGAAUUUCAGACAUAAAUGUUUUAGUAUUUUUGUGGGUUUUGGAUUCUGCAAGAAAAUUCUCAAAUGCCAAUUUGGAACUUUCAAUCAAAAUCGGUUGAAUAUUUUCCUUAUCCACGAACGUUCUCUUUCCUAAUUUCUUCUCAAGUUGAAACUUAGAAAGAAUGUUGUUGGAUUCGUUACUUGACGAAGAGGAAGUCUCAGAUGUAGUUUGAGACAUCCUCGGAUGAAAAUUGGGCAAAUUGUUUUGAUUUAUGUAACUUGGCUCUGAGGCCAAUGAUAGAAAUUGGGUAGUUCACAGGAUCGGAAACAGAUUUUGUUAGACUAUCGAUCAUAAUAAUAUGGUGUGAAGGAUAUGAACUACCCUUAGGAUUGGAGAUACCAUUUGAGAGCUUACGAGGUCUACCAGGCUUUCGUUUAUUUCCUUCUCCAACUUGAGUCGUCUUCCCCUUACCCUUGCUAUGUAAAACAGUUGCCCCUUAUUGCUCUUUCUGUUGGAAAUGUGCCCUAAAGCCAAUCAUAUGAUGAUACUUUACGGACAUUUCACAUGUUAAACUAAUCUAGUUUAACUAUAAAGGGCAAAGAUUAUUGUUUGAGCCGUCUCAUAUAAAUGUUAUAUGCUUAAACGAUAAAGUCCAAGGAAUAUGUGAUUGGGAGAAUGCGAUCUAAAGAAGUUAGAUUCAUGAGACCAAUCUUUCGUAGACACAUCCUAAAUGUUCCUGAUCAUAGGAUUGCCAAUUGGGCAUUGACAGUCCGUUAAGAUCAGUACGUACUGUGUCUUCUCUCAGGGAGAGUGACUAGUCUCGAGUUAUUGGUGUGUGUGACAUCAAGACAAGUACGUAGGUGCUCAAUAGAGAAUGAGUUCACUGAACACGAUCAACGAAGAGUUCUCAUAUUCAUGUCACAUGAGAACUCACGGUUGGGAUAAUGCAAAGUAGUCAUUUGACCUGAGGCAUCACAGUUGUCUUAUGGUUAAGUCCUUGAUCUUUGAUUAUGUCAAAGUCACCCCAUCGGGGUGUCCACGACAUCAUUGGGGUUAAGCCACUUAGUCAUGGAGACAAGUGAAUGCGCAACAAGGGAUCUCUAACCUUCAAACCGUUUGAGGGAGAAUACUCUAUGAUAUGAUUUAAAACCUCUGGCCAGAGUAUGAAUGAGAUUUAGAAAUGUCGUUCUAAAUCACAUUCAAGGUAAUCAUAUAAGCACACGAAUCACAUUGGAUAGUAGACAUGAAUAAAUAAACUAUCAAACCAAACAAUGUGGUCAAGAAUAUUGUAUUAGAGAAAGACCGUAUUGCAUUUGUAAUCCUAAACUGAAUAGGUUCUCCACCUCUUCUGAUUAGCUUGGGUAACCAUGAUAUGCUGCUAGGUGUCACUCAUGGUUUGUGGAAGCCCUAAAGGUGUGUAAUCACUAAAGGGAGAAUUGAAAGUAAGUUUCAAUUCACAAUCGAUGUAAAAUGGUUUUAAUCGCCCACUGCCUCACUAAAAGGAACCUAAUGGAUCGUACACCGUGUAAGGUGGAGAUUGAAGAAACAAUGGAGAUGAGUAAGAAUAAUUAAAUGGUUUAAUUAUUUAUGGCAAGGAUUAAUUAAUAUGUUAAUUAAUCAAACGAAUAAGUUCGUUAAAGACCUCGGGAUAGUUUUGGGCCUCAAGGCCCAAUGGGCUUCGAACGUCAAGUCCAUUGACUUAAAUUGUAUGACAACUUAAUUCAUAAAGGCCCAAAAGCCCAAACAAAACCCCAUGGCCGGCCAUUUAGAGGAAGGGUAGUGAACUUGCUUUAAUUACAAGUUUGCCACUCAAAUGAAUAAAGGUAUAAAUAUGACUUUAUAGCCAAAAUUCAUUAGGGUUUGUUUUGGAGAAAAUUGGAGAGAACAUGUCUCUCCAUUUCUCUCUAAAGAGGCCGGCCCCUUGGAGGGUGUAUCUAGCCAUACUAACUACUCCAAGGUCACUCAUUUCUUCUCCAAUCUAACCUUGGUGAAGAUACUUAGAGGUUCUCAAUUUUGGGAACUUGGAGAAACCUUUUCAUCCAUCCAAAUUCAUAGAUUUUAGAUGCAAGGAAUGAAGGCCCUCUCUUUGGGUGAUUAGCCUUUGCUUAUGCAAAGAGGAAUCUACAAAGGUAUGAUUUCAACUCACUUUGUUUUGAGUUGAGUUUUGGUUCACCAAUCUACUAGGCUUUGAAUUUCAUGGGUAAUGUUUUGUUUUUGAAUGCAUGCAAGCCUGAUUCCGCCUUUUAAUUGUUAAAUGCAUGUUAUAGAUGUUAUUCAAAUGAACAUGUUUUCACAAAAUCUUCCUUCAAGUGGUAUCAGAGCCUAGGUCUAGUAGUUGGUGAAUCCUUUUGGGUUUUGUAGUUCAUAGUUUUGAUUUAAAAGUGUAAUAUGUUACAAGCUUUGUUCUUGUUUCUUUGAAUGUAAAUUUUGUUAGAAAAUUUGUCAUCUCAAAUGUUGUAGAUGUAGUUCAUAUGAGCAUGAAUAUUGGAGCUAAAAUUUGGUGCCAUGCUUUUGGGAAAAUUCGGCCAAAUACAUAGGGUGAUUUUUUGGGUUCUUGUUUGACUUGUUAAAAGUGUUUUAAAGUGACUUUUGGAACCCCUAUGUACCCUAGUUUGGUUAUAUGUUAUUUCCCUAAAGUUUCAAUGGUUUUGGAAUGUUUUUGGGUGAAAAAUGUUCAUGGAAAUUUUUUGAGUUUUUCAUGAAUGUUCUUCAUUGUUCUUGACAUUUUAGCCAAGAACAAAAAGUUUUGUGUUUUGAUUCAAAGUUUUGAUUUAUUUCAUAAAGUUUAUGUUUUAUGAUUUUCAAAUGUUUAAAUGUUUUAGAUAUUUGUUUAAAUGGUGUAAGAGAUAUUGGUGGGUGUGUAAGGAUUAAUUUCCUUUCACACACACCACUUGCACCACUUGAUAGCUUUAUGUCAAAACUCACAAAUCAACACACACAUCACUCCAUUUCUUCUUCCAAAACCGGCCACCCCCUAGUGGGGGUACUUUUGGGGCUUUUAUGCAAUUACAUAAAGUUUUGAUACUUUUGUGUAUUUGCACUUUGGCCCAAAAGUUUACGUUUUUACGUUUAGGUCCAAAAACGCUAAAGGACAAAUUGUUUUGCUCCUUUAAUGAAGUUUUUACAUUGUUUAAUUUUUGGGUUCUAGUGUAAUUACAUGAAGUAGUGGACUUUCGUGUUUUUACAAAGUGACCCCAAAAGUUUAUGUUUUUGCAAUAUAGCCCAAAUGUUGUGGUAAUUGCAUUUUGGCCCAAAUUAGGUUGAGAACAAAAUGGUUUUGUCUCUUUAAAUGAGAAUUGGAUUUUCAUUUCAUUUAGCUCCAUUUAAAUCAAUUUUAUGGAUACAAAAACCAAAUGAAAAUGUUGCAAUCAAUUUAAUUAGUUAAAGUGUUAAUUAAUUAAAGGGUGAUUAUGAACCUAAGCCUAAUAUAAUUGAGCUAUGUGAUAGGCCGUUUCAAAUUUGUUUGAACCAUGGGAAUGUGUAGAUUAGAUUUUGGUUGUAAUUUGAUUUGAUCAAAUGUUGUAAAAGGGCUUAAGCUCUUCUUUACUUUAAAGUAAUUUGUUUUAUGCAAAUGUUGUAAUGAGCAUAAGCUCACCUUUACUUUGAAGUACUUCUUUCUUGCUUUAUUUGAUAUGCAUGAAAAUGAAGUAGUUGGGUCCAACGCCCCUAAGACAACACGCCUUAAUGUGAUUAAACGCGUAACUAAAAUCAAUCACCAUCCCUAGACCGAGAUUCAACACAAGGCUCGUGUUGAAUCUAAACAAAGGUUCAUAGUCAUCCUAAGGCCCUAAGGCAACUAUAUAGUCCAUCAAUGAAUGCAAACCUUAUGUUAGUAGUAUCAUAUACUCUUGCUUUAAAACCGUUUUAUAAGCAUGGUGGGAGUAUUAUAUACAACUAAAACAAUCAAAUGGACCAAUAGUUGUAAUAGGACCAAAAUUGUUUUAAUAUAGAUUAAAAUGAAUGUUUAUAUGUGAUGAGACCUAAAACCCUCAACCAAACCAUUAUUAAGUUGAUAAGCGUGAGAGUGCUUUGAACACUCUUUCGUGACCUUGCACCAUGGUAGCUCCAAUCGUUUAUGACUUGUACACCGCCUUCACCCUAUCAUGGGGGAGUGCAAAGUGCAUGUUUAUACUCAGGAGGAGUCUAUAUACAUACUUGAUGAGGUGAGUGUAGGCAACGAGGAUGGCCAAUAUCAUAUCAUUGUGAGGCUAUUCUUGAACCCCUUCAUGAACUAAGCAUGGUGGGAAUGACUUAACUAAGUGCAAUGGAGCCAAUAUCAUAUCAUUGUGAGGUUACAUUCUCUAGAGGCCAAAUAAGAUGGGUACUUGCAAGAGAUGCAAAUGAGUAAGUGUACUCUCUCAUUAUUAUUAAUGCUAGCCAAUAUCAUAUCAUUGUGAGGUGGGCUUGGUAGUAGUGAGUCUCCCAUACCCUACUAAGAGUUUCAUCCAAAACUCUCGAAUUCCAAUGAGGGAUAUGGAAUUUGCCAAAAAUAGUGGGUGGUGCUAUUUGAUUUAAAGACCCGAAUCAAAUGGCUUAAAAUCAAUCAAUUUAUAUUCGUUAUGUAUUUGUUUACCAAUAUAUUUGCAAACGCUAUCCAACACUUGACAAAUAAAAGCCGAAAGCUUUAGUUUCCGGACUUGGUACUACAAAACCAUAGAUUGUCUUUAAUGGCUUGUAAAUGUACCUAAGUAGUCUCAUCCUCACAAUCUUCCUAUUGAUAAUGUAUCAGUAGAAGAAUAUGUUAGAAAAUGUCUAUCAUAAAGAGGACAACACUUUUAAUGUCAUAAUUCUUCAAUUACAAAUUGUUGUAUGAAGAAAUAAGAGUUGCUUUGAACAACCCUUAAUCAAUGCAAACAUUAGUGCUUGUUUCUUUGUUACAUGAACAAGGAACUUUAGAAGUAAGCACAAGGGCAUGGACAUUUUAUGUGCCAUGAUUCUUCACUUACAAAUUGUUGUAUGAAGAAAUGAGAGUUGCCUUGAACAACUCUUGAAAGUUUGUAAUUAUGUUUAGAACAUAAUGGUUGGUUGACAAAAAUAGUCCAUCAACAUGGACUUAUGAUGAUUUUGAAUUAUUGAGUGUUGAAGUGAUAAACCACUUAACGAGACGGAAACUGGGAAAGGACUUCACCUUUGUUUCCCUAUCCUUAUAGUUCACUAAGUUUAUUGUAAACUAUGUAGUGAACAAUAAACCACAUGCUCUCCAAAAUGUUUGAUGUGUAUAACACAAUUGAAAUAAGUUUCAAGAGAGAUAGUGGGAGUUUAGGGACCAUGACUAUUGUAGUCAAAGGAGAAGUCAAAUGAAGAAGAUAAAAUUAACUCCAAAGGAACAAACUUUCUUUAUGAAAGGAUGGACAUUGGAAGGGGUAUUUGCAAGAAAUGUCUUGCAAGUGUCAAGAACACACCUUUCGAAGGUGUUGUAAAUUGUUCUUGAAUAGUUCAAAACAGUUGGUUCUUCUACUUGAAUGCUUGAUUCCGUAUUAGUAACUAUGUUUUACAAUCGUUGUAAAAGUGUGACUAAUAAGAAGUAGAAGAUAUAUGAGAGAAGAAAAAGGUGCUUCACAUUCGGAACGUGAAUAAAAUAUAGAUCUCUGCGAAAACAGAUAGUACUUACUUCCUCAUAUGAACUACCAAAGAAAUUGGAAAACCAAAGAUUGUCUUUACAUUCCAAUUUUAAGGAAUUUAAUUCCAUCACUAUAGUAGAGAUGGAUGAAUGUUUUGUUUGACAAAACAUUGUUCUUUAUUAAUCAAUGAUUGGAUUAUAGUAAUCUAAUUGAUUGUCUCUAUAGUAGAGAUGAUAUGGUAGUGUUAACUAUUUAGAAUACAAUGAUGCUUAAAACCCAAAAGGUUGCAAGGUAGUGACUAAUCCCAACUAAGUUGUGAUACCUCUAAAAACAUAAGUUACGAGUUGGUGAAAGAUGGAUGCUUUGGAUUGUUAGAUCCGGAUCCAAUACCUUCUCAUUAAAAUUGUAUAGAGGCGAAAUGUUCGAAUCUUUAUUCUUUUGGAAAGAAGAAAAAAUCACAAAUUUGUUGAGGUUAAUUCACUUAGAUGUUGGUGGCACUUGACCACAACAUAAUACUACUCAUGUUGUAUGACAUUCACCGAAGAUCGCUCUCGGUUGAACUAUAGUUUAUUUUGAAUAAACACAAGUCUGAAUACUUUGCAAAAGGUUUCAAAGAAUUCAAGAAAUGUAAGUUGAUGAGUAAGACAUCUAAAGUAUUUACCUCCUUAGAUUUGAUCCAAGGAAAAGUAACACUUUAGAUGAGUUUCCUUGAAAGAUAUCAAGGAAAGAAGCAUCAUAAGAUAAUAAAAUUCUCCAUUAAGGAGAAGAACGAACUCGAAUAAGAUUUAGUUCGUUAGAUGUUAUCUAUUACCCAUAUAUAGGAUAUAUACUUCUAAAAACAAUAUGAUUGUCAAUUAGAAGAUCUUCCAAAUUUUUCAUGACUCCAUAAGAUGUAGUUGGAAAGAAAGACAAAUCUUAAGCAUGUUAAGAUUUGGGGUUGUGUGCUAAUAAGCAAUAUUUGUUUUGAUAACAAUUUUGUGGGAUAUCCUUAAAUUAACUUUUGGAUAUCGCUUCUAUAAACCAACUAACAAAUGUUGUUUUGUUGGGUAGUUCAUUGUAAUCCUACAAUGUGAUUUGCCUAAGAGCUAAAUGAACGAGAGAUAGAACUCAAAGGAAUGGGUUCUUUGAGAGACAAGAAAGUAAUCAACAAAUAUAACAACCUAGUUCCUAUACCAAAGGCUCCAAGGUAGUCGAGAAGGAUUUAUAAACCGUCUCAGUUGAAUGGUUUGAACUUUAUGACUAUGUCAUAGAGUUACACCUUUUAAUUCGAAAGAAAUAAGAAUGAAAAUCCUUAUGACUACAUUGAGUGUAUAUAUGAUAUAUACUCAAGGAAAUGGUAAAGUACCAUUUGACCCGAAAUAAUGAAACCUUCAUAAGCUAAUUGGUAGCUUAAGGUGACUACAAUCAAAGAGAAUGGUUGACUUUGAAGAAACCAUCUUUGAGAUAGUCUAGGUUUCAAUUAAUUCGAAGAUUGCUAGCUACAACUAAAUUGUGAUUCAAUGUUUGGACAUUAUAUGGGUUUCCGAAACCAUUAUUAAGAUAGUCUUGAUAAUAUAUGUCUAAAACUAUAAAUCACAAGACAUGUAAGUUGUAGAGAUCCAUCCAUCAUGGAUCUAAGCAAGCUAGUGGGAGCUAUAAGCAUCUUAUGAGAAAAGGAUCAAAUCGUUUGAUUUCUCAUAAAGAUGUAAAUGAAUCUUUUGUUUACUAGGUUUACAAAAGAUUACUGGGAGUUAAUAAUGUUCCUAAAAUUUAAAAUAUAUAUAUGAUAUAUUAAUUUUGGAAAUGAAAAGAAUACUUCUCCAUAGUUAUGACUUUAAUACAUUAUAUGAAGAUAUAAUGUAUAUGGAAGUUAAUCAUGUUCCUAAAAUUUAAAUAUAUAUAUGAUAUAUUAAUUUUGGAAAUGAAAAGAAUACUUCUUUGUUAAAGUUAUGACUUUAAAACAUUAUAUGAAGAUAGAAUGUAUAUGGGAGACAUAGUAUAUAUACAUGGGAUGGAAAUCUAUAUUGAUAGAUUUUAGGAUAUAAUUGGAUUAUAUCAAGCCCUAAAUAUAGACAAAAGAUGAUAGGAAGUUUCUCAUAUGAUGAUGAACUUCAAUCAAAUGGACAACUCUAGUAAGACUAAGGAGUUGCUCUUCUCAAAGAGAACGUACUCUUUGACUCCCAAAGAAAUAAUGCAUAAAUAGAAUCCUUUAUGCAUACGCAGAAAGGUGAUUUAUGUAUUUCAUAUUGUAUGAAAAACAUUGAUAUGAGUUGUACCUAGAAAGGUGCAAGACGAUAUCAGUGCAAGCCCAAGAUCAGAACCAUGGCAACUGUCAAGUGAGUCCUUAAGUAUUUAAGAAAUACUAAAGGAUAAAUUCCUCAAAGAUCGAGGAAGAAUUAGAGUAACGUAAAGGAAGCGUAAAUGUAUUAGAUUAUGAAUCUAAUCCAUCAUUGGAUGUUUCUUCAUUAUGAAUGAAGAGAUAAUCAGAUAUCUCUUUAUUAUGACUAAAGAGAUAUUUGGAGGGAAACAUUAAAGUAAUGACUUUAGUGUGUUCCAUUAUGAAUGCAAAAUAUAUUGCCAUAUAGAAGUUUACAAUAAUGUUGUUUGGAUGGGAAAGUUCAUUUAUGAACUCUCUAUUCGGUUCCAACCAGAAAGUGUAUGACACUAAUGGGGCGAUAGCUCAAGCCAGGGAAUCAAGGUCUCAUCAAGAUCCGAACUCAAAUGAGAGACUGAACCACAUGAUUGAGAAUCAUGUAUAAUGGUGACCUCGUUAUUCUCAAGGUUGCUUCUAUGGAUAACAUAUAGAUAUCCAUUGUCUAGGCCUACUAUUCAGCCAUUUAUGAAAUGGCUACAGAAGAGGUAUCAUCACUGAUGACCAAGCUGAUUGGCUCUAGUGCAAGUGGGAGAUUGUUGGAAAUGUGCCCUAAAGCCAAUCAUAUGAUGAUACUUUACGGACAUUUCACAUGUUAAACUAAUCUAGUUUAACUAUAAAGGGCAAAGAUUAUUGUUUGAGCCGUUUCAUAUAAAUGUUAUAUGCUUAAACGAUAAAGUCCAAGGAAUAUGUGAUUGGGAGAAUGUGAUCUAAAGAAGUUAGAUUCAUGAGACCAUUCUUUCGUAGACACAUCCUAAAUGUUCCUGAUCAUAGGAUUGCCAAUUGAGCAUUGACAGUCCGUUAAGAUCAGUACGUACUGUGUCUUCUCUCAGGGAGAAUGACUAGUCUCGAGUCAUUGGUGUGUGUGACAUCAAGACAAGUACGUAGGUGCUCAAUAGAGAAUGAGUUCACUGAACACGAUUAACGAAGAGUUCUCAUAUUCAUGUCACAUGAGAACUCAUGGUUGGGAUAAUGCAAAGUAGUCCUUUGGCCUGAGGCAUCACAGUUGUCUUAUGGUUAAGUCCUUGAUCUUUGAUUAUGUCAAAGUCACCCCAUCGGGGUGUCCACGGCAUCUUUGGGGUUAAGCCACUUAGUCAUGGAGACAAGUGAAUGCGCAACAAGGGAUCUCUAACCUUCAAACCGUUUGAGGGAGAAUACUCUAUGAUAUGAUUUAAAACCUCUGGCCAGAGUAUGAAUGAGAUUUAGAAAUGUCGUUCUAAAUCACGUUCAAGGUAAUCAUAUAAGCACACGAAUCACAUUGGAUAGUAGACAUGAAUAAAUAAACUAUCAAACCAAACAAUGUGGUCAAGAGUAUUGUAUUAGAGAAAGACCGUAUUGCAUUUGUAAUCCUAAACUGAAUAGGUUCUCCACCUCUUCUGAUUAGCUUGGGUACCCAUGAUAUGCUGCUAGGUGUCACUCAUGGUUUGUGGAAGCCCUAAACGUGUGUAAUCACUAAAGGGAGAAUUGAAAGUAAGUUUCAAUUCACAAUCGAUGUAAAAUGGUUUUAAUCGCCCACUGCCUUGCUAAAAGGAACCUAAUGGAUCGUACACCGUGUAAGGUGGAGAUUGAAGAAACAAUGGAGAUGAGUAAGAAUAAUUAAAUGGUUUAAUUAUUUAUGGCAAGGAUUAAUUAAUAUGUUAAUUAAUCAAACGAAUAAGUUCGUUAAAGACCUCGGGAUAGUUUUGGGCCUCAAGGCCCAAUGGGCUUCGAACGUCAAGUCCAUUGACUUAAGUUGUAUGACAACUUAAUUCACAAAGGCCCAAAAGCCCAAACAAAACCCCAUGGCCGGCCAUUUAGAGGAAGGGUAGUGAACUUGCUUUAAUUACAAGUUUGCCACUCAAAUGAAUAAAGGUAUAAAUAUGACUUUAUAGCCAAAAUUCAUUAGGGUUUGUUUUGGAGAAAAUUGGAGAGAACAUGUCUCUCCAUUUCUCUCUAAAGAGGCCGGCCCCUUGGAGGGUGUAUCUAGCCAUACUAACUACUCCAAGGUCACUCAUUUCUUCUCCAAUCUAACCUUGGUGAAGAUACUUAGAGGUUCUCAAUUUUGGGAACUUGGAGAAACCUUUUCAUCCAUCCAAAUCCAUAGAUUUUAGAUGCAAGGAAUGAAGGCCCUCUCUUUGGGUGAUUAGCCUUUGCUUAUGCAAAGAGGAAUCUACAAAGGUAUGAUUUCAACUCACUUUGUUUUGAGUUGAGUUUUGGUUCACCAAUCUACUAGGCUUUGAAUUUCAUGGGUAAUGUUUUGUUUUUGAAUGCAUGCAAGCCUGAUUCCGCCUUUUAAUUGUUAAAUGCAUGCUAUAGAUGUUAUUCAAAUGAACAUGUUUUCACAAAAUCUUCCUUCACUUUCUUCCUAUUUAUGCCAUUAGAAUUUGUCUCCGCAACACCAUCAUGAUCAUCCACAUCCUCAAUUUGUAAGCCAUCAAAACUGUUGCUUAGAGCACUUUCCCUUGAGCCAUUUUUCACCGCAUCAUUAGACUUCUCUUAAACUUUGGAACAACAAGAUUCCAUGUUCCAAUAGCAACUUUCCCAUCAUUGUCAGCAUUGAUGUUAGCAUCAAGUAUAAAAUAUCGAUGAUAUCGGAAAUAUCGGUAGUCCAAAAACACGGAAAUAUCGAUGGAAAUAUCGGGAUAUUAUUGAUAUCGAUAAAAAUAAUAUGGAAACCACGGAAAUUUUAAGAAAAACUUGGAAAUUUUUAUUGAAACUUUGUAGGAUGUUUAUUUAGUCAAUUAUCUAUUAGUUUAUCACAAAAAAUUGGAAAGAAAUGCAUUGCAUGAUCGAUUUAACUUAUUUAAGUUGAUUAUAUAGCGAGCUGGCAAACAUUGUGAGUGUAAAAAAUAUGUAGUAAUUAAUGAAAAAAGUUUAAACACACCAUAAUCAUUUAUAUAUAAUGAAUUAGUCCAAUAUUUUACACUUUAUACAUUGCAUGGUAAGAUACAUGAGUGACUUAGUACCACAUAGAGUUCCUAUGAGGUUCAAAUUUUUCACUAUCUUCAUCAUCUCUAUGUGUAGAGUAAGUGUAUUGUGAAGAGUAGUUAUCAAAUGAUAAAUCCCCAAAAUAGUUUUGCAUGUAAUUGUUAACAUGCUACCCAUAUGGAUCCGAGAUUGGUUGACGUUGUCCAUAAGCAAAAUCAUUUGAAGAUUGAGUCUCGGAUUCCUUCCAUGAGUCGCUUGAUUCCAUCCCGACAGGAAUGGGAUAUGAAGGGUGGGGAAAUGGUUGGUUAUGAGUAUAACCAUAGUUACUACUUCCUACUCCAACAGAGUCCGAUGUAAUAGAUAACGAGUCAUCUUCUUGACUUGACAAAAUCCACUUGCCUCUUUCUCUACGAGUAUAGUCUUCCUUAUGGCACCAAUUCCUGGUCCUGCCCGCCUACUGCCAUGCUCCUCAUCUUGUGUUGCAUGCGUGAAGUUUGCCUCAACAGUGAAGGGGCUCAUAAAUCUGGGAGAUGGUCCAACAUAGUUUCCAUAUCCACCACUACCUCCAGCUCCACUAUAUCCUUCACCACUACGUCCAGCUCCACCUCCGGUGGUAGGUGAGUCUCCUGAUAUUGUAGUAUACCUAUCAUUAGUAUCAGCAUGAUCUUGUGGUUGUGUAGGAUUGGAAGAAGGUGGAAUUCCAAUGUUUCUUGGUCUUGGGCGCAAAAGUUCUUCGAAAGAGUCAGCGCUGCGAGAUCCCACCUCCUCCUCCAACACUCUUUCUACAUUAAUCCCUUCAUUACGUGCUUCUUUAGCAACUUUAAGAGCUGGGUUACCUUCAUCAUGAUCUAAAUGAAGAGAUCUAAUCCAUUGAUAAAGUUGGUUACCCUCUGUAUCAUCAUCUUCAGCAACAAUAUCAAGCACAUCUAGUGGGUCACCACAGUCGACAUGAUCUAUUUCUGCUUCCUUAUCUCGAAUUUGAAGCUUCAUGUUGUAGUAGCAAUAAACUAAUUUUUCCAACCGACUAUGAGCCAACCUAUUUCUUUGCUUUGUGUGUAUGAGUGCAAAUGUACUCCAAUUUCUUUCACAAGCAGAUGAGGAAGUUGUUUAUGAUAAUACUUUGAUUACUAACUUUCUCAUAGUUGGUGCAUCAGUCCCAUACAUGAUCCACCAUUCAACUAUAAUGAAAAACAAUGUUGAUAAGCCUAAUAACUCCAACAAAUUCUAUUAUAAUAGUGAAAUAUGUUUACACUUACUAGGAGACAUUUUUGUUCGAGCAGCAACUGAUGUUGGUUCUCCAAAAGUUCUUCUUGCAUCUUUAAACCAUGUUAGCUAAAUUCAAUAAAUCGUGUUAGUUUAAUCCAACAAUGUAAUUAUUAUAAUUUAAGUAAUUGUGUACCUCAUUUCCAAAUUGGCCAACUGCUGGUGAUGUAGGGUCUAAUUUGUAUACAUUAUGUACAACUAGUAUAAGGGUACCAUCAUCUCCAACACCGGGUCUGUUUUGGUAUCGAGGAUUCAAAUAAUAUGUUGUUCAAAGAAACACAUACUCUAAUAAGAGAAAUAAUACUUAUGCAACUAAAGAAAUGAAUUGCAAAUUAUGACAUAAUUUAUACCUGCUGCAUGCAAAUCGUGGUAUAAUGUUUUAUACCAUCGGUCAUCAAUUAUCCUUAUGACCCACCUUGCACCAUGUUUUCUUUCCAAGUCAUCCUUCACUACACGCAUCAACUCAUAUAUUGCCCCCAUAGUAGGAUACACUUCUGUGUCAACGAUCCGUAAAACUUUGUAAAGAGGUUCAAACACUUGGCACACAUGUUCUGAUUGAGUCCAAAAAGCAUGAUCAAGCACUAUACUUUCCACCAUACGACCUGCAUUUGAGCGGCUAAAAUUGUGGUUAGCCCAAUCGUCACUAGUGAAUAAUUGCUUCAACCCUGCUUUCUUCUUAAGUAGGAUGUCUAAUGCAAUAUAGUUGGUGGCGAAUCGAGUGGUAGCUAGACGAAUAAUUUCUCCUUUGCAAAAUUCAUGCAUCUUUGCCAACAACCAACCGUGAUUGUAAAUAUAAUUUGUGAUCGUUCUAGCUCUUUUUACCACAGUAGCAACAUUCUCUCUCUUCCUCAUUGCCUCAAACAUGAGAUCAAUACAAUGUGCUGCACAUGAUGUCCAAAACACAUUAUGAUGCUUCAUUAACUUUUUUCCAGCUUUGACAAAUGCAGAACCGUUGUCGGUAACGACUUGGACAACAUUAUGCUAUCCCACCUCUAUGAUUACAUCCCUCAAUAAUUUGUAAAUAUAGUUGUAGUUCUUUAUAUGGUCUGAAACAUCAACAGACUUUAAAAAAAUUGUCUUUCCCUUGGAGUAUACCAUGAAGUUUAUGAUAGACAAUCUGGUCGGGCCAAUCCAUCCGUCACACAUGAUUGUGCAACCAUUAGUUUCCCACUUUGACCUCAACUUGUUAACAUACUCGCCAAUGUCUUUAUACUCCAUAUCCAAAUAUUUGUUUCUUACCUCAUAGGGAGUGGGAGGUUGUACUCUAACACCGGCCUGUUGACAUCCCAAUACCAUAUUUUUGAAAUGAUGUGAUGAUGCCUUCUCAGCAGGGACAUUUUCAUAGAUAAAAAACUUGCUAAUUAGACACCCCAUUCCCUCCUUCACAUUACCUUCAGUGAAAUAACUCCAAACACUCUUUUGACGGCUUUGGAUGACUUAGAUAAACUUGGGGCUAUUGGUGGUGUUGGUUGUGAUUCUCUAACACUUGCUCCCCGUCUCAUUUGUGCACCACCACUUGUCCCAGAACCUUGUGCUCUAUUAGGAAUUUUAUGAAGGUGUUCUCUUUCCCAUGCUGACUGUUUGGAGGCACGUAAUGCUUGUUUCAAAUUGCGUCAUUCUUCAAGUCCCAUGUCAUCAUCACAUUCAUCCUCAUCAUCAUCAUCAUCACUGUCAACCGCUAGGCCAGUGACUUCUCCUCGUAGCCCAGCUCGAAUAUUUUCCAUUCCAUGUGUUAUCUUUUCCUUCUGCUUUUUUUUAUUUUUUAAUAAUGUGGUGAUGAAUGCCUUCACUUCUGGGAGGACAUUAUCGCAUCGUUGGACAUUAUGUGCUGGAUCUAAUCCACUAAGAUGGUACUUAAGUCGUGUCACUCCGCCACUUUUCAUUACCCGACCACAAUAUUUACAAAUUGUGCCAUGUUUGUUUCCAUCUAUUGGGUCUCCAUGUUCCCAAGCUGGAUCAUGUUUAGUAACUCCACUGGACAUCUUAAACGUACCUAUAUUUAUUUUUCAUGAAAAUUAGGCAAUUAUUUUUUGGCCAAAAAAUAUAGUAGUGACUGAAACAUAUUAAAUAGGAAGUAAAGAAAAUAGGAUGUAAAGUUAUUCUACAGAAGAAUUAAAUAGGAAGUAAAGAAAAUGAUUGUAUCAAUUUAAGUAAUUAUAAAAAUAAUAUGGAAUAAUAAAACCUAAUAUUAAUGAAUAAUAAUCCAAUUUGAUAAUAAAAUAAUAAAUAACAUUAAACAUAUUAAAAUUAUUCUAGGGAAUAAUUAUACAACAUUACUUAAUGGGUAAAUUACACAGUAGCCCCUCAGGUUUUGAGGUCUAUUACAACCCCAUACAACAACUUUAAAACAUUUCACUUUCAUACCUCAAGUACUAUUUUAUUUCAAUAUAAUACAUCCGUUAGAUUUUCCAUCCAUUAAUCCGUUAAAUGCUGACGUGGCUGCCACAUUUGUGCCACGUGGCAAUUUUUUUUUUUAAUUUUAAAAAAUAUUAUAAUAAUUUACCCUUAAAAAAGAAAAUCUAAAACCCAGCAACCCAUUCCCCCGAUCCUCCUCCACUCUCCUCACUAUCUCUCUCGAACCCCAAACCCCCCAAAAUCUCCAGAUCCAAAACCCACACAAUGCAACUCUGCUGGCGCCUUCCUCCUCACGCUCACACUCAUCCGACCUCUUCGACUACCUCACCUCCCUCUCCCUCCACAUCACCUCGUUUGAAGCCUCCGAAAUCUGACCUCGUCGUCAAAAUCUUUAGAUUUCAAUGUGGCUGUGUCGCAUUCAGGGUCUCUUGAAUUUGGAGCUCCACGGUUUCGGUUUCCAGUGAUAAUAAGGGUGAGCGUUGCUGUAGAGAUUUGGGUUUCCAUUUCCUCCUCCUCGACGGGGCUCUUCGAUUCAAGGGCAUGGGGGUUUGCAAUGGUUCAACUUAAAAAAAAAUAAUGGAAUUUAAGAUGGAAAAUGGAGAGAACUCUGAUAUGGGUUUUUAAGAUUGAGAACUCCGAUGAUCCCAAUCGCCGAUGGAGACCACUCGAGCAAGCUAGUUGCUGCUGUCGCCGCCGACGAUGGUAAGGUCAAAGUUGGGAGGCUUGGAGGGAGAAGAUGGGUAGGGGAAGAUGGGUUGGAGCAACGCCAGGAAAGCCAGAGGAGUUGCGUGGUUGGGAAUUAAGGGAGAAAUGGAGAAGUGAAGACGGAGGAGAAUGAAGGGGGGUUGCGGGGGAGGGAGUGGGUCGGGGGGAAGAUGGGUUCUGGGUUUGAGUUUUGUUUUUUUUUUUUAUUAUUUUUUUUUAAGGGUAAAUUAUUAUAAUAUUUUUAGAAAUUAAAAAAUUAUUUUUUUUGCCACGUGGCACAAAUGUGGCAGCCACGUCAACAUUUAACGGAUUACUUGAUGGAAAAUUUAACGGAUGUAUGAUAUUGAAAUAAAAUAGUACUUGAGGUAUGGAAGUGAAAUGUUUUAAAGUUGUUGUAUGGAGUUGUAAUAGACCUCAAACCUGAGGGGCUACUAUGUAAUUUACCCUUACUUAAUUACUUCAAAAAAUUAACAUGCAAGUAUAAAUUACAAUAAUAUAAAUAUAAGUUCGUAAACUUACCUUAAAUAUGGAACCCUUUGUGUUGAACCUCUAGAAUGAAUCUGGAAUGGCUCUGAAAGGGGUAAGGGAAGAAGAAGAAACGAAAAGGUGUAAUAGAGGUUUUAAUUUUCAAAGGGUCAAAAAAUGUGUGAUGAUACUCCACCUCUGAGAAUGUGAAAGAAUAACACAGUGGCACACAGUUUUGAAUGGUCUAAAAUUGUAAAAGUUGUCCAUGGUUUGAUACUCCACCAUUAUUUUUGGCCAUGGUCUGAAAUUGUACAAGUUGUAAUUGUAAAAGUUGUCUGGGUUUUGAAUUAUUUAGAUGCUUUUGAAUGAAACCACCAUUAUUUUUGUCCAUGGUAAAAAAAUGUGUGAUCAUCUGAUACUCCACCUAUGAGAAUGUGAAAGAAUAUCGCGCGUGGCACACGGUUUUGAAUCUUGAUGCCUGAAACCACCAUUAUUUUUGUCUUGUCAAAAAUUGUGCCAUUCCUAAAAGCUGUAAAAGUUGAAUUAUUUAGAUGCUUUUCUUUUCUCACACUGUCACACACCACCUACACACACACACACGCACACACACAGAGAUCACACACUCUACCAUACACGCACACCACACACGCACACAGAGACGUCAGUCAUCUCUGGAUCCUUCUCUCUUCUCCCUUUCCUUUCUCCCACAAACACACACACACAGAUCUCACAGAUCUCUUGAAGUGUCGAUCCUUCUCUCUUCUCCCUUCUCCAACACACACGCACAUAGACCUCAGUCUCUCGAUCCUUCUCCCACAUGGCCUUCUCCUCCUCUCUCACCUUCCUCCUCGUCUGCCUCUUCCGCCUCGUCGGCAAACCCAGGAACUCUCCGGCGAGUUCUCUCGAUCCUUCUUCACCUUCCUCACCGAUCCCACCGACAACAACCCCACCUCUGUCGUUGACUCCAGCGACGACCACCACGACCCCCAAACCCCAACCUCAACCUCCACAACAACCACCCAUUAUCCUCCUCCCUUCAGAGCCUGCCCACCAGCGCCGCGCUCGCCUCCAUCUUUAUUCCAUGUCUGCUUCAAACAAGACCACGCCUGCUUCGCCGUGGGGACAGACCACCGGUUCUGGAUCUACAACUGUGAUCCGUUCUGCGAGCUCUUUCAUCGCGACUUCAACAACGGUGACGAAAUCAGCGUCGUUGAGGCGCAGAUCUUGGGUCUGAGCCUGGAUUGCAGAGAGAGAGAUCUGGGCAGUUGGGAUGACGCAGCCUCAGCUGUCUUUUCGACGAUGGAGCCAUGACGACUGUUUCGAUAAUAUCGAAUAUAUCGCGAUAUUAUCGAUAAUAUCACGAUAUUUUGACGAUAAUUAGGGGGAUACGUGGGAAAAUAUCGAUCUCUCUGAAAAACGAUAAUAUCGGCGAUAUUUCGCCAAUAUUUUCGAUAUUUUAGUCAUUGGUUAGCAUCACCACAUGUAUGAUUUGGUUGACCAUUAGGAGCAACAGUAGAUUGACCUCCUACAAUGCCCAAAGUCUGCUCCUUACCGGACUCAGACUCUUCUUGCCUAGCAAUACCAUAAUGGUCUUCCGUUUGAACACAAUCAUUAGUAGGAUAUAGAUUUGUUGUAUGCCCAUAGCACCCAGAAAAGAAACAAAGUUCACUGAUCCCCGCAUACACUACUCCAUAAACACAACCAUAAAUUUCAACACAUGGCUUAAAGGCUUUGUUAAAUCAAUUUCAACACAAACUCGCCCAUACUUGCCACAAUCUUGAGCCCAAGUAUGAAGAUCAAUUUUGAUUGUUGAACCCAAUUCCUCAUCCAUAUAGGCAUCUUGCUAGUUUUCUCUUUUGAAGGACAAAAACAGGGCGUCAUUUUUGCAUAAACAAUGUUUGACCAGCCACAAUCCAUGGACCACCACACAGAACAUAAUUCAUAUCUUCAUCCAGCAUAAAUCGUACAACAAAGAAACCAUUAGGGAGAUCAAUCAAGCUCAUAGGUCUAAGCCUGGAAAAAAUUCCUGAAAAUCCUGAUCCCAACGAACCCAAACCAAAAUUAACUCGAAAUUUUCGGUUUUUGAACAUUUUUGGUUUGGUUAUUAUCCCGAACCGCACAGUUUGAUUUGGUAUUCGGUCUAGCAUUUGUGGAUUUCAAUUUUACCCGAACCGAACCAACUUUAGAUAAUUAUCUCAAAAAUAAGGCCGCAAGAAUUCAAACCCUUGAUCUCUUAUAGGAGAAUCAACGAACUUCACCACUGAGCUAACUCUCGAUUGCUUAUAUUAUAAUACAGAAAAUAUAUUUAUACGCUUAAUAACUAUUAGUUACUCAUAUGUAACAGUUUCAUUAACCAUAGCCGCCUACCAUUUUUCUAGUUAUGCAAUUUCAUAUCUCUCCUCUCGAUUUCAAUUUUCAGAGCCGUAUCUUCUCUCUCAAACUCUCUCUUUCUCUCGGUGGUUCUGCCACCAACACUCGACUCACCACCUCCCUCUCCUUUCCUUUCACUCGCUUCUUUCUCUCUCUCUCAACUCUCCUUUCAACCCUAUGGUACUGCUUUGUGCAGGUUCUAUCAUGCCUUCCAAAUUGUUCUACCAAUUUAAAAAGGUAAGUCAUAUUCCAUUCCCUUAAAGAGUUGGAAUUUGUGGUGUAACUGCAGCAAACUGGGGAUUUGGAGGAAGCUUGGGUAUCUUGUUUUUGAAUUAGGGCUUGAAUUAGGGAUUUACAAAUUGGGGAUUUGUCAUUGUUUUUCUUUGAUUUGGGAUCCUGAAAUACCGAAAAAGAUGCUCUUUCACUUCGGAUUUGGGAUUUACAAAUGGAGGUAUGCCGCGACCGAUAAAGAUACUCUUUCACUUGUGAAGAAACCCGAAUUGCAGAACCGCAAGAGCCCUAAAAAACUUCGGUCUCCCUCAUCGAGCUUAAACUCCUUAUCCAUGCCCUGGACUUCUUCAAUCCUUGAACCGAUAAGCUUAUCCCUAAAAGUCCUCGGAUGGGGAGGAAUUUCAAUCAUAUGAUAUAAUCUACUUCAACCUCAACCUAUAGCUCAGUAACAAUGAAGGAAAGCGUGGGGAAGAAGGAGCAAAUGUUCUCUAUCUAUUUUUUUUCUUCAUUUUUUUUUGUAAUAUUAUUAUUUUAUCAAAAUGACGAUUGGCCAAAUACACGCACUAGUGGCCUAAUAGUAUAACAAACCCAAACAACUAAUGAUAGCUGGUAAUUACAACUAAUAAUCCCUAAUUAUCAGUAAACACUUAUUAUUUAGCUAAAUAAAACUACUAAGUAUGAUUAAGCUUAACUUAAUUCAUAACAUUACCCACUUCUUGAGAGCAACCAUGUCCCCAAGGUUACAAAUUAAAACUUGAAAGUAGGAAAUUUCAGCACAAUUCUUUAUAAUCUUCCCAAUUAGCAUCUUUCUCAUUGCUGCCAGCCCAAUGAACCAACAACUACAGUCCAACAACAUUACCUUUCUUGUACAUUCUUCUCUCCAAAACUAUAAGGGUUUAGUUGGCACCAAUCCAUCAUCAGUCACUUGUGGCAACACUAGUACCAUAGAAGCCUUAGAACAAAGGUGCUUCUUCAAACAACUAACAUGGAACAGUAGUGUAUCUUGCUACCCUUAGGCAAUUGAAUCUUGUAAGCCACUGAUCCAACUCUUUCUUUAACUUCAAGGGGUCCACAAAACUUGGGAUGCAGUUUACGAUAAGAAUGUGCAGCCAAGGAUUGUAAUUGGUAUGGUACUAAUUUCAAGUAAACCCAAUCUCCCACCGCAAACUCUCUUUCACUCUUAUGCUUAUUUGAUUGCACCUUCAUAUGAUUUUGAGAAACCACCAAAUUUGUCAUGAGCAUUGACAGCAACUUGUCUCUAGCUAACAACCCUUGCUCCAGAAGUUCCAAUUUAGUACAUCCCAAUUCAUAAGCUGAUAAGUGUGGAGGAGGAUAACCGUAGACAAUCCCAAAAGGGGUAAAUUGUGAAAAGGUAUGGAAGGAGGUGUUAUAGCUCCAUUCAGCCCAUGGGAGCCAUUGCAACCACUUCCUAGGUUGAUUGCUAGUGUAGCAUUGAAGGAAAAAAAGAGAUUUAUGUGGGAUUUCUAGUGACUAGCAUGCAUAUACAAUUCAAAAUUUAUAUACAUUUGCAACGGAAGCAUGUUAUCACAUAAUAUCAAAGCUAUAGUCAUGCAAAUCCCCUUUGAGAAGCAUAGGUUCAUAUGAUGUAUCUAAGAAAAUAUUGAAGAACAAAGUGAAGGUACAGUUUUAUACCUCUUGAUCUAGACUUGAGACCAAGGAUGGACCACCAUUACAGCUCCUUUCUCCUUUAUAAAUGUCUAAGAAGUGAGUCAACAACUUGACUCUCUCUCUCUCUCUCCAAUGGCCGGCCCCUUUUGUGUUGUUUAGGCUUUGGGCUUUUAUCAUUUCAAGUCAUCCUAUGCUUAAAUAAAAGCCCAAUGGGUUUGGGCUUAAUGGGCCCAAAUGAACCCGAACUUUUCUUUAAGUCCAAAACGAUCUUUCAUCGCUUCUAUGAUUUCUUUAGACUUUCUAAUUAAUCAUAAUACUUAAUUAAUCCAAUUAAUUUAUUCCAUCAUCCUUUAGUUGUCUCACUACAAGAGUGUUUCGGUGUACAAUCGUUUUAGGUUCUAAUUAGCAAGGCAGUGAGGUGAUUGGCACCAAUCCAAUUGAUUUGUAUUAAUCCAAUCACUUAGUGAAUUAAAACUUACUUUCAAUUCUCCUUCUUCUUUGAUGACUACUUAUUUAAUCAUCUAGAAGAACCCACAAGCCAUGAGUGACAUCUAACCAUAUAUCAUGGCUACCCAAGCUAAUGUAGAAUUUGUUUGGAGAACCUAUUCAGUUGGAAUUACAAUGUAAUUCGAUCCUUCUCUAAUACAAUACUCACAAUCACAUUACUAGGGUAUGGAUAUUUAAUGUCAAACCCCUAAUGUGAUUAUAUCAAGUUAUAUGAUUCUAUUGAGUCGUAUAGGAACGCUUUCCUUCAUUACGAUCGAUACUUCGGCCGAAGAUUUCUGAAUCAUAUCUUAGAGUAUUCAUCCUCUCAUAACGAGGAUUAGAGAUCCCUUGUUGAUCAUUCACAUGCCUCUGAGAAUAAAUCAUUGACCCCAACAAUGCAUAGAACACAUCCAAGAUGAGAUGUGGUCACAUCUCAUUAUCAAAUGAUCAGCAACGUAUCCCCAAGACAACUAUGAUGUCUCAGGUCAAAGGAUUACUUACAUUAUUCCAACUAGUAGAGUUACUUGCUUGACAUGUGAGUAGACCACCAUGCAAGUACUCUCGUUUGAUUGUGUUCAGUGAACUUAUUCCUAUAAUGAGCACCUACAUACUUGUUUUAGUGUCACUACAUGAAUGUCAUGAGACUUUCCAUCAUUCCCAUUGGAAGGGGACAUAGUAUGUACUGGUCUAUGUAUUGUCAGUGUCCCUCCGACAAUCCUAUGACCAGGAACUCUUUUGGACAUCAUGGUUAUGAGAAGAAGGUCUCUAUAGUCUAACAUCAUUAGAUUACUUCUUCCAUCGAUCCAUUGUCCAUGGAUUCACCUUUUAGGACCUAUAUCGAUUAUUGAGAUAGUCCUAAUGGGUGACUUUGCCUUUUUGAUGUAUUAGAGUUUUUCCACACAUAUAGACAUUGUCCUGAAAGGUUUCUUCCAAAGAUUGACUUUCAGGGCAUAUCUCCAACAAGCACCACAAAUAGGUUUCUUGACACCUAUUGACUACCUCAGUUAGACCAUCACUCUAAGAAUGGUAUUCAGAGCUCAUGCAUAGCUGGGAACCAUUGAGUUUGAAGAAUUCUCUCCAAAAAGCACUGAGAAACAGAAUCCCUAUCACUAACAAUGGUUUUGGGCAUACCAUGUAGCUUAAAGAUAUUCUCCAAAAAACUUUUGAGCCACUGUUGCAGUAGUGUAGGGAUAGGAUAAUGCAAUGAAGUGUGCAUAUUUUGUUAAUCUGUCCACCACCAUGAUGAUUGAUUUUCCCUUAGUCAAUGGCAAGCUUACCACAAAAUCCAUACUAAUGUCAGACCAUACUGGAACCCAAAGCCAGUGAGCUCUCAAAAGGCCUCGUGCUAGGUAGAGAUGAGAAUAUACAUAUAAUGCUCAUAGGAUCCUCAGCCCUAGGCGAUAUGGGAUCUUACAAUCCACCCCCCUUAGGGGCCCGACGUCCUCGUUGGCACACUUCCAGCCAGGAAUUGGCCCUGAUACCAAAUUGUCACAUCCCAGCCCGGGUCCCCACCACAUCCUGGGCUCAACUCCACCAUAACACGAUAUUGUCUAUUUUGGACCCCGACUACGCCCUCACGGUUUUGUUUCUGGGAACUCACACGUGAACUUCCCAGUGGAUCACCCAUCUUGGAAUUGCUCUCGCGCGAACUCGCUUAACUUCGGAGUUCUGAUGGAACCUCGAAGUUAGUGAGCUCCCAAAAGGCCUCAUGCUAGGUAAAGAUGGGAAUACACAUGUAAGUCUUAUAGGAUCCUCACCCGAGCUCGACUCCACCGUAGCACGAUAUUAUCUGGGCCCCAACCACAUGAAGGAAAUUUUGUGAAAACAUGUUCAUUUGAGCAACAUCUAUGGCAUGCAAUUAACAUUUAAAGGCGGAAUCAUAUUUGUAUGCACUAAAAAAAAAA